GGGGCUGAUCGGUUUCGACGGUGAUCUGUUCGUCACAGGGAAGCGUGCCGAGAACGCGGAGUCCGCUCGUGGAUGUCCUCCGCAAAAGAAUAAGUGCUAAAUCUAACCGCACUGAGUUCGCUCUCGCUGCCUGAGCUUCGCGCCAGGAUUAACCAGUGAGCAGCCGCUCCGUUCACUCUCCCUCGUCUUUGGGGAGAUGCUGAGCGUCGUUAAGAAGACUUGCUUGGAUCAUUGGACCGCAGGGUGAUUCAGGGACUUUAACUGUAGAUAUGCUCGCCAUCGGUCGUCUGCGGCACAGAUGGGGGCAGAAAAACCGCCGUACGGCCAGCAGACUACGCACGUAGAAGACUGAGAGUACGGUCACCGGACCGGGGUUCAAUUCCCCGCAGCUCCACCA
rnacentral:tmRNA from 1 species